rnacentral:rRNA from 1 species
AGUGAACGCUGGCGGUAGGCCUAACACAUGCAAGUCGAACGGCAGCACAGUAAGAGCUUGCUCUUACGGGUGGCGAGUGGCGGACGGGUGAGGAAUACAUCGGAAUCUACUUUUUCGUGGGGGAUAACGUAGGGAAACUUACGCUAAUACCGCAUACGACCUACGGGUGAAAGCAGGGGAUCCUCGGACCUUGCGCGAUUGAAUGAGCCGAUGUCGGAUUAGCUAGUUGGCGGGGUAAAGGCCCACCAAGGCGACGAUCCGUAGCUGGUCUGAGAGGAUGAUCAGCCACACUGGAACUGAGACACGGUCCAGACUCCUACAGGAGGCAGCAGUGGGGAAUAUUGGACAAUGGGCGCAAGCCUGAUCCAGCCAUACCGCGUGGGUGAAGAAGGCCUUCGGGUUGUAAAGCCCUUUUGUUGGGAAAGAAAAGCAGCAGGUUAAUACCCCGCUGUUCUGACGGUACCCAAAGAAUAAGCACCGGCUAACUUCGUG